AUGUCUUCUCCCAAUCUAGCCCAGCAGAAUAUUAUCCAUGCUAAAAAGAGUGAGCCAGUAAGGAAGGCUAAUUGUCAAUUGUUGUUUAUUCAUUGUUUACUGAGGCUGGAAUGCUUAGCACACUGUGUUUUCCCAAAUGUCCCAAGUUGUGUGACUCAGAACUUUCUCCACUUUUUUUCAUCUGCUUCUUCAGCAGCCUUUACAAAAACCCACCCUUCCGUUCCAGCCCAUAACUCAUCCAUCCAUUCUUCCCCCCCUCCGUGUGUUUCAUCUGUUCAGGACAGUGCUAGCAGCGGAAACCCGCACAAAGUGAAGCCCUCUUAUCAGUUGUGCCGAGAUUGUCUACGUCUCCCAGGCGGGCGCCGCAGCGAGCGUCGCACCAAUCGUCUUAAUCUACUGCGUCACGCUGGCCUGUCCAGCAUCUCCAUCAGGAACCCUGGAGCCGGACACCUCGGCUGCAUGCCCAUUCGCUGCCAGCUGCCCUCUCCUGCCUCUAGGCACCAGCUGUGUAGCCCUUGCUGCAAAAGCCCCAUUCCUGCUGUGCUGGCCACAAGCACGGACACAUACCGCCAGCGAUCGGCCACCUCCCCUAUGAGCUGUGAAAUGCUUCCCUGUGACCGUCAGUGUCCUUUGGGCCCUCAGGAGACGGAUGAACUCCAAGAGAUGGAAGAAGAGGAUGUGUCAAAAGCAGCCUUUGCCGAUCCUGCCACAGAGCAGCUUACACUAGUGGACCUAAACCUGCAGAGUAAGAGGCCCACUGCAGAGCUUCACCAGGAGGCCCACCUACAAAAAGAAGCAAAGCCUGGACGCCAAAAACAAGAACAGCAGGAACUCAUGGACUUGGGUAUGGAUGAUGUCGCAACAGAGGACAUGGAGGUGGACUUGGGUGCAGUCCCAGGUACGAUGUCCUCUUCACUUCCGAACAAUCCCAGCGACCACCUCGCUUCCGUCUCCUCCUUGCAGCACUGGGCCAUGACACGCAGCUCAAGCAGUGACAGUGUGCAGCUAGUGCAGCUGGGCUUGGUCCACCAGAGGGCACAGGAGAUCGAAACACGCAUGCGAAUGGCUGGACUGACCACAUCUUCCAGGCUCCAGCGCUCUAACUCACUCGCUAAACUCGGGGGGCUGACCGUUUCCAAACACGACCUGUUGUUUUCCUCACAAACAGAGCCUGUGAUUAGUAAAACAUCUCCCAGCUCCCCUACAUAUGCUUUAACUGUGCCAUUGCUGCACACAUUCCCAGGAUAG
rnacentral:lncRNA from 1 species